UUCCUAAACUCUGGUGUCCUUUUUUGGCUGGCUCUGUGCACGGAGCUGACAUUUCCACAGAACUGUCUGUCAUAACUUCAGGAUCUCACAUCAGAGCAAUAAAGGCCAGAGCCCAUCAUUUGCAUUUGCUGUUCUGUUUGCUUUCCUUGGGUUGCUGUUCAGGACUGGAGCUUUCCUCUGACAGAAACUUGAUCAUGCCAGGAAUGUAACUGAGGACUUAGGAAGUCCAAGAAGUGGCCCAAAAGACUGGAUUCAGUUUUCAGCCCCAGUGUCUUGCAUGGAUGGGAUACUCACCUACUUGAAGCAGCACAAUCUUUCAUGGGCUCUCAGUCUGCUGCUGAGCAGUCUUGUCCCAUUUUACCUGGUUUUGGACCAAGAAAACAGGGAAUAAAAGGAGCUGCUGAAAGAGCGGCGGAAGGACACAGAUUUCAGACCAACAGAACUGGCCUUGCAAAGAGCCAUGUAGAAAAACCCCAAUAUUAAGUCGUGUUUGGACACUCGGGCCUAAAUAAUAAAGUUUCCACAAGUUUAUGAAGAGUGGCAUCUUUUUGAAAUAUUUUUAAGUGAAUGGCUCCCCAGCAUGAGUUGUGUAUGCUGCUGGCCUGGAGAAUCCAGCUCUGCUGGGGUUGUGUCUGGCCUGAAAACCUUGCCUUUGAGGAGCUGGUACCAUCUUCAAGGGGAGGGAGGAGACAGGCUGGAGGUAAGACAUCAGUGUCCACUGUGACUGGCUUGAUGAGCUGCCACUUCUGCUUUCUUGUGAAGACUUUUGAAGACCAGUCUCAAAACUGCUGUCUGGUUUCCACCAGCAAACCAUGUUGAGGCAUUUAGUGCAACACAUCAGUAGGUAUCAAACCCUGAGACACCAUAAAAAAGGAAAAGUGCUGCUUUUCAAAAGAAUACUCUGUGUAUUGGAUAAUUUAUAGUAUUUACCAAGACUGACUUAUGAGACAGUGGGAAGUCAGGAAUAAUGUGAAUAAUGUUUGAAAAUCUUUCUAU